rnacentral:rRNA from 1 species
CACGCAGGCGGUCAUGCAAGUCAGCUGUUAAAUGGAUGGGCUUAACCUAUUCAUGCGGUUGAAACUGUAUGGCUAGAGUACUGGAGAGGUAAGCGGAAUUCCCGGUGUAGCGGUGAAAUGCGUAGAUAUCGGGAAGAACACCAGUGGCGAAGGCGGCUUACUGGCCAGUAACUGACGCUGAGGUGCGAAAGCCAGGGGAGCGAACC